rnacentral:lncRNA from 1 species
CCCAGAUGUCCUCUGCUCUGAACAUGCAUGACUUUUUGGCCUCCCAGCCAGCCAUGUAAGACAAAGAAACAAUUGAAAUCUGCAGCUAAGCAUUUUCCCUGCCUGAAUCUUCCAAUUCAGUUCUGCAGUUUAUUCUCCUGAUUUCUUUUCUAGGAUAUCAUCUUAAGAGACCUCUGUUGUCACUUCAAUGUUCUUGGGUUCACAUCUAUCUUCUGACUUUUCCAGAAGUCAGGAGCUGAUACAAAGGUAACAAUUUCUCAGCCCAAGUACAUGGCACACUCACUCCCUUAAUUCAGUGCUACUUGAAAAAUGUCAAAUUUAUUCAGAACAACUGCAUGUGCAAUUUUUCCAACAGAUUGUAUUAACUGUCUAAAAUGCACUGAGUGUGACAGUUACUAAUCAACAGCUUAUUAUCCAUUUUAGAGAUGCUGGGAUACUACUGUGUUCAGGGGAAAUAUUAUGUAAAAUACAAAGGUUUGCUCAGAGCUUGUAUGGCAACACUCAUAUAUCUAAAUGUUGCAGGGGACGGCCUUCUAGG